AGUCCCCUUUUCCUUUGUCCUGUGAAUGCAAAGCAGGAAGCUUUUAUUGGAGGCAGGUUGUGCGAGAGGACGUGAGGAGCUGACUGAACAGCAGGUGUGCUUAGUUCCAAACACUUGGCCUCCAAGGUCUAUUGUUGGCUGGUUUUAUUUUCCACUGGAGUAUUCUGCUUUUCGAAACAGCAUAUCUUAGGAGACUUGUACAUUAUUGAAAAAUGAAAUCCCUUUGGAAAACAUCUGUAAAAAUAGAUUUAUCUGAAAAAAAAUCAACUCUUUGAAAUGAACCACUUGAGCUUUUCUAACCCAAACCACUUUUCAAAGAUUCUGCGCUGCCCAGGGGUGCAGUUCUGAGCUCACAUUCAGCGUCACUCAGCUCUCUGCACACAGCAGGGGCACAAAACAAAUCCUUUUCCUGCUGAAGACCAAGG